AAUAAAAAAAUAUUUGAAUAUAAAUUUUAUUUAAUAAAUAAAGUAAUAUUAAAAAAUUUAAGUUAUAGUAAAAAUUUAGAAUAAAUUUUAUUAAUAAUAUAGAAAGUAAUGAAAAUGAAAAAUUUUAAUAUUAAAAAAGUAGAUUUUAAUAAUUGUACCUUUUGUAUCAGGGUUGAUUAAAUAAAAUAUUUUAAUAAAAAUAUAUCUCGAAUUUAAAAUAUUUAAUUAAAAAUUUUAGUUAAUGUGGAAAAAUUAUUAAUAAUUUUUAAUUAGAAGUGAAAUGUUAAUCGAUUUUAAAUAUAUCUAGUUUUUUUAGAAUUAAAUAUAAUUUAGCUUUAUAGUUUAUAUAAAUAAAUUGGUUUAAAAAUAUAAAAUUAUAAAGUAAAUAUUUUUGGGAUAAACUAAAAAUAUAAUAAAUAAUAUUAUUUUCUUUUAAAUUAUAAAUAUUCAUAAAAUUUGAAUUUUUUAAAAAAAAUGUUAUAAUUUAUAAUUAUAUGUAAUUUAAAUUUAAAAUUAUAUUUUUAUUUUUAUAAAAAAAAAUUAUUUAAUAAUGAAGUAUUUGUUAUAAUGAUUAAAUUAGUAAAAUUUCAUUUGUAAUAAAUUAAUUUUGGAGUUUAAAUUUAUUUUAAGGAAUUCGACAAAAAUUAUAAAAUUAUUUUAAAAUAAUGAAUUUUAUAUAUAUAUUCACCUGUUUAUCAAAAACAUGUCUUAUUGUUAAUAAUAAUAAGUCUAUUCUGCCCAUUGAAAAUAUUUAAAAGGCUGCAGUAUAUUGACUGUACAAAGGUAGCAUAAUCAAUUGUUUUUUAAUUGAAAACUGGUAUGAAAGAAUGGAUGAAAUAUAAGUUGUCUCAAAGUAAAAUUAUUGAAUUUAAAUUAAAAGUUAAAAUGCUUUUAUAUAAUUAUAAGACGAUAAGACCCUAUAGAAUUUAAUAAAUUUUAAUUAAUUAAAGAUUGUAUAUUUUAAAAUAUUUAAUAAUUAAAUAUAUUUUAUUGGGAGGAUAAUUAAAUUUAAUAAACUUUAAUAAAUAAAAAACAUAGAUAAAUGAAUAAUUGAUUAUUAUUAUAAAUAUUAGAUUAAAUUACCUUAGGGAUAACAGCGUAAUAAUUUUGGAGAGUUCAUAUUGAUAAAAUUGUUUGCGACCUCGAUGUUGAAUUAAGAUAAAAAUUAAAUGGAGAAAUUUAAAAUUUAAGUCUGUUCGACUUUUAAAAUCUUACAUGAUUUGAGUUCAGAUCGGUGUGAGCCAGAUCGGUUUCUAUCUAUAAAAAAUUAUUUAUUUUAUUGUACGAAAGGACUUAAAAUAAUAAAUAUUUUUAUAUGAGUCAAUUAAAUUUUAAUUGAUUUUAUUGAAUAAAAUUAAUAUUAG
rnacentral:rRNA from 1 species